ACAGCCAGGCACAACGCUGGACAGCCUAUCCAUCUCCAGUCACAGGUCAUCGUCUAGGACGACAGCCAGGCACAACGCUGGACAGCCUAUCCAUCUCCAGUCACAGGUCAUCGUCUAGGACGACAGCCAGGCACAACGCUGGACAGCCUAUCCAUCUCCAGUCACAGGUCAUCGUCUAGGACGACAGCCAGGCACAACGCUGGACAGCCUAUCCAUCUCCAGUCACAGGUCAUCGUCUAGGACGACAGCCAGGCACAACGCUGGACAGCCUAUCCAUCUCCAGUCACAGGUCAUCGUCUAGGACGACAGCCAGGCACAACGCUGGACAGCCUAUCCAUCUCCAGUCACAGGUCAUCGUUUAGGACGACAGCCAGGCACAACGCUG